GUGAUUAGCGGAGAAAUUCCAAUCGAACACGGAGAUAGCUGGUUCUCCCCGAAAUAGCUUUAGGGCUAGCGUUGAACGAAUCUACCCGGAGGUAGAGCACUGAAAUCAUGCGGGCGGCAUCUCGCCGUACCAAAUGAUAUCAAACUCCGAAUGCCGGGCAAGAAUAUUCAGCAGUCAGACUGUGGGUGAUAAGGUCCAUGGUCAAAAGGGAAACAGCCCAGAUCAUCAGAUAAGGUCCCAAAAUUUACGCUAAGUGGAAAAGGAUGUGGAGACGCGCAAACAGCUAGGAGGUUGGCUCAGAAGCAGCCAUCCUUCAAAGAGUGCGUAACAGCUCACUAGUCGAGUAUCUCUGCGCCGAAAAUUAACCGGGGCUAAGCGUAAUACCGAAUCUAUGGAUUUAUACUUAGGUAUAAGUGGUAGGGGAGCGUUCCAUACAGCAUUGAAGGUAUACCGUAAGGAGUGCUGGAGCGUAUGGAAGUGAGAAUGCCGGUGUGAGUAGCGAGAUGUGGGUGAGAAUCCCACACACCGAACAACCAAGGUUUCCAGGGGAAGGUUCGUCCGCCCUGGGUAAGUCGGGACCUAAGGCCAGGCCGAAAGGCGUAGUCGAUGGACAGCAGGUUGAUAUUCCUGCACCCGCGAGUAAAGUGAUGGAGUGACAGAUAGGGUUAACCCAAGUCCUUACUGGAUUGGGCAAGGCAAGCAGGAGAGUGGCGUAGGCAAAUCCGCGUCGGAUACUCAAAGGCUUGACUCAAGCGAACGCGCGAGCAAGUAGUGAAGAGGGCGAUACCAGGUCUCAAGAAAAGCUUCUAGCGAUAAUUUACUAGCGGCCCGUACCAAAACCGACACAGGUGGUUGAGGCGAGUAGCCUAAGGUGAGCGAGAGAACUGUUGCCAAGGAACUCGGCAAAUUGACCCCGUACGUUAGCAAUAAGGGGUGCUCGAAAGAGCCGCAGUGAAUAGGCCCUAGCAACUGUUUAACUAAAACAUAGCUCUCUGCGAAGUCGCAAGACGAAGUAUAGGGGGUGACACCUGCCCGGUGCUGGAAGGUCAAGGGGAUUUGUCAGACGCAAGUCGAAGCAUUGAACCGAAGCCCCAGUGAACGGCGGCCGUAACUAUAACGGUCCUAAGGUAGCGAAAUUCCUUGUCAGGUAAGUUCUGACCCGCACGAAAGGUGUAAUGAUUUGGGCACUGUCUCGGCAGCAGACUCGGUGAAAUCUUAGUACCUGUGAAGAUGCAGGUUACCCGCAACUAGACGGAAAGACCCCAUGGAGCUUUACUGUAGUCUGCUAUUGAGUUUCGGUUAAGUAUGCACAGGAUAGGUGGGAGACGAUGAGACUGGUCUUUUGGGAUCAGAGGAGUCACUGUUGGGAUACCACUCUUACUUAAUUGAAAUUCUAACUCUAAGCCGUGAUCCGGCUAGAGGACCGUGGCAGAUGGGCAGUUUGACUGGGGCGGUCGCCUCCCAAAGAGUAACGGAGGCGCACAAAGGUACUCUCAGAAUGGUUGGAAAUCAUUCAUCGAGCGCAAACGCAGAAGAGUGCUUGACUGCGAGACAAACAAGUCGAGCAGGGACGAAAGUCGGUGUUAGUGAUCCGGCGGUGCAGAAUGGAAUGGCCGUCGCUUAACGGAUAAAAGCUACCCUGGGGAUAACAGGCUGAUCUCGCCCAAGAGUUCACAUCGACGGCGAGGUUUGGCACCUCGAUGUCGGCUCAUCGCAUCCUGG
rnacentral:rRNA from 1 species